rnacentral:tRNA from 1 species
UCCCAGGUUGCUCAGCGGUAAAGAGUCUGCCUGCCAAGCAGGAGAUUCAGGUUCAGUCCCUGAGUUGGGAA